UGCUGCAUACCAGUGCUCUUGGUCAUUUUGUAAUUCCCCCCCACUCCCCCGGUAAUCACACCAAGUAUGUAUCUCCUCAUAGUAUGAUGAUGAAGAGCUGGCUACAGAGCUUAGAACUCACUAGAGUCUGUGCAGACAAAUCGUGCUUGUGAAUUCCAGAAACUGGCCCUCCCAGGUCAGCAUGAGCAGAGUAUUGAAUUUUUUUUAUAACAGAAUGUAAAGGGGUGUGAAUAACUAGGGGAGCAAUUAGCAUGGGCUCUAGGCUGAGUGGACUUCAUCCUGGUUAUGAAGCCCUGGAAUCUCUGUGACACAAUCACAUCACCUCUUUCAGAUCCCAGCCAGAUAACACUUUGUAAACACUUAGUUGUGCAAAAUCCUCCUGUGAGCCUUUUAUGAUGACAGUUAAGGCCUCACACAAGUUCAAGGAACUGUUGCCAUACCCUCAACCAGCUUCAGCCCCUGAAGAUCUGCUCCUGACUUGCCAUUGGCCACACCCUCCACAGGUUUUUUUGAAUCCUUCUUUUUUGAACUCCUUAAAAUCUGCAUUCUGCCCACACUGAGUGAGAUGGAAGUGUGAGAACCUCUCCCAAGUUGCUAUCAUCCCCAUCUUUCUCUUAUUUUCUAACCUUGUCCUCCUGAUUCUGAUAGGGAGAUAAGGAUUGGAUUGGAUUUUUGGGAGCACUCCUAUACAUCUCCUUUUUUGGCCCAAAUUCUCAUCCCACUGCUUAUCACCAGCAACUGGCCCAGGAGAAUUCCCUCUCUGGCCUCUCCCAUCCUCCACACUAAUGAAAGGGACCUAGCAACUCUGGUUACCUCAUAUUCAUGCAGAGACAUAAGUGAUGUGAAUGGGCUUUAGAAAGUGAGUUAGCUGAACUGGGAAACUGGUAUCUUCUUACAUCUCGCUACUUCUACAUCACACCUCAGUUCUAGGUGCCAACAUUCUAAUAGUAUCCAUGGCCUUUGGUCGCUCUGCCUACUGAUAGGCCAAGGUACAUGUUACCCCAAGAAGAAGGACUAUCAUAUAGACCCAUUUCUUCUCUGUCCUAUUUGCCUUGAUUACUCUUGAACCUAUCCCAUGGAACCAUUUCCCUGGUGGGCGGGGCUACUCCCUGCCCAGGUGGGUGGGCAUGUUUAUGUCAUAAGGGACACUGUGACACGGGCUAGCCCAUAAAAGCAGCUGUAGUCCUGGACCCUUACCAGUCACUGGUUCUGACUGCUAGGAGCCUCUCCUAUCAACAUGACAGAUAAGCCCCAAAUAAUUUUUGCUUCCCAACGCCAUCUUCCCCCUUAUUCCUUAUCUUCCCCCCGGCCUGACACUCCUGAUCUUGUAGCCUGGCCCCACCUGUCUGGUCCUCCACCCCAGCCUGACCCCGCUAGCUCUGUAUUUGAGCCUUACCAUCCUGCUUUUCCACACUGCUUUUCCAUACUGGCCUCAUCCUCCUUUGGGCCCUCCACUCCAGCCCAACUAUUCAAGUCAGCCAUACCAUUGUUACUUCCGUUCUGUCCCUUCACACCAGGCAAAACCCUCAGAUCCUGCAUCUUGGACUCACCCUUCUCCUAGUGCCCUCCCCACAUCUGACUCUCCUUUUCUUCUCCCAGACCCUCCUCCCGGUCCAGUAUUUGAGCCUUUUCCUCCUCCUGCUCCUCCAUACUGGCCCCACCCUCGCUCUGAAAAGGGACCCACCCUCCCAAAAGUCUCAUCCUACUACUAAUUCCUCACUCAAACCUCAUCCCCCUUCUCAUGCUAAACACCAACCUUGCCAUUCUCUGUCUCUAAACAUAAGCCCCACCCACCCCCUGCUCCCAAGCACAAGCCUCGGCCUCCUGCAUCUACACAAGUCCCAACCUCCUCCAGAUGUUCCUCUCUGCCUUCUUUUCUCUUGUGGCCAUGAUCUCCGCAAAUGCCUUCUAGCACUUCUUGCACAAAAGCUUCACCCUUCUCCUAGCCUUUUACACAGACACCAUCUUCCUGUCAUGCUCUUCACAGCUUCGCCUUCCCUCCAGUCUUUCUCCACAGCUCCACCCUCCUUCUGUCCCCUCACAUUGGUGCCAGCCUCCUAUUACACCUGUACACCAACCUCACCCUCCUCCUGGUCCCCCACCCCACUCUCAGUGUCCUGCUGCUUCUCUGCACCAUCCUCGCCUGCCUUCUGAUCCUGCCCCCAAGCCUCGCCCUCCUCCUGCUCCUCUCUCCCAGCCUCAGCCUCACCCUCCUUCUCCUUCUGACCCUCUGCCUCACCCUUCUUUUCCUUCUCCCUGCCCGUUCACUGUCCUUUUCCUCUACUCCAGCCUCACCCUCUGGCUGGUCUUCCCUCUCCACUUCAGCCUCCCUCUGAACCUCUGCUCCAGCCUCAUCCUCCUCCCAAGUCUCACCCUCCUUUUCUUUCUCUGUAUCAGCCAUCUCCACUUCCUGUUCAACUCCAGCCUCAAGUUCCUGCUGUCCCCACCCCCCCAGCCUGUCCUUCCUUCUGGUCUGUCAUUCCAGCCUCACCCUCCUCCUUAUCCUCCAUCUCAGCCUCGUGCUGCUCCUCCUUCUCACCCUCCUGGCCAUCCUCGCCUUUGCUCUGUACCUUGAUGCUUGCCUCACCCUCCUUCUGCUCAUCCGUCCCAGCCUGACCUUCCUUCUGAUCCUUCCUUCCCUCCCCACCCUCCUUCUGGUCCUUCUCCCUAGCCUCCCCUCCUCUUCCUCCACCUCCCUCUUCCUCCACCUCCUUCCUCUUGUUCCUCCAUAGCAACUUCAACCUUCUUUGCCUACAUCCUGUCUGCCCAUUUGUCUCCUACACCAGCCUGACCUUCCACACUGUCCUUACCUUUGUAUGACCUCUCACCUCAGUCUUGCCCUGCCUCAGGCCCAUCAAAUUCUAAUCCUCUUGUCUACCCUCCUCCCAGCUCUCCUCACUUUGUCACCUUUUUCCUUCCAUGACAAAUGACACUACUUCCCAGUACCUGACCUUAUUCACUCCAUGCCCAGCUCUUCAAGACCCUGUUCCUAUCAUACCUAACCUGCCCAUUGCCCUGUUAUCCUACCUGUUUCUAUUUGACCUCUAUGUUAUCCCCAACUCCCCCUAAAAACUCUACUUACUAGUCCUCUAUACCCCAACACACCCCCACCCACUUGUGAUCCAGUCACCCCAUCCGUACCUACUGGUUCCCAAAUAUAAUCCCGGAAGGAAGUUUCCUUCCCACUGUGACGGAUCUGGUGAAGCUCACAGUUGUGAAGACUGGACUCCCAGAAACUUGGUGGCAGGUAGAUCCUCUCCCGCCUGAUCAAUGUGCUUGCAUCAGCCUUUAACUUACAAUGUGGUUGGAGCAGACCAAACUGCAGGACCAUAGUGGAGUGACAAAUGAGGGGGAUUCAUCCCCUCUGUUCCCCAGGAGGGUAAGUUCUGUUGAUCUGCAGAGUUAAAGUGAGUGGAAGAAAUGGGGAGCCCAGAGGACUCACCUACAGGGCAUGAGGAUUCCACUGUAGGCAGAAAAUCCCUGUAGCAUGCGUGUAAUGGAGAGAAGGUGUCACUGAUUGGCUGGUGAACAAUGACAUCGUUAUCUCCAGGGGCUGACUCCAUUUCCAUGGAUGACAGCCUUCCAAACAUGGGACUCAAAUGUGUGCAGAGAGGUGAGAACAAGUGUGGACAAUCCUGAUGCCUCUGACCUCUAAGCUGUAGCUCUUCUGCUCCCUUAUGCGGGGAAAUGCAGUCUUUUUUGAGGGAUUAAAAACUGCCUGUCCCUUGGACCAGUCAUAGCUGCAAGGAUAGGCAGGUCUGUUUCCUUUGUGGUUGAGUGUAGGGCAUGAGCGAGGCCAUGGCGUGGCCAGGCCAGGCCUGGGGGGCUCCGCACGCGCAGCUGCCCCCGGGCGCCCCAGCCUGAGCUGCGCAGAGCCGAGCCGCGGGGAAGCGAGCCCGGGAACUAACCCAAGCCAGGGCCCGGAGCCAGCCAGGCAGAGAGGGGCCUGGCGUGUGAGCACGUGGCCCCGGCCACCGCCAUGGCGGACAGCGGCCCCGCGGGGGGCAUGGCGGUAGCGGCUCUGGCUCCCAGACCGGGUGGUGCGGACGAUGGGGGCCCUGGGCGGCGCUAAGGAGGGGUCAGCAUGAAGCGUGCCAGGCUCCAGGAGGCGCAGAGCCUGCAGGAGGACUUCAUCGACAGCCUGCAGGCGCUGGAGGAGUGGGACUGUGAGCUGCAGUGUGUGCACAGCUGCCGCCAUGAUGCCGCCAUGCCCAGGGCCCGCCAUGAGCAAACUGCUGUCGCGCAAAGAGGGGGAGUGGAUCCUGGAGCAGCUUGCGCGGCCGCCACAGCCCCCCAGCAAGAGGACCAUUGGGGACCAGAUGGAGAGGGACCAGGCUGCUGCUGCUGAUGCUGAUGCAGGCGACCUCCUCUCCAGCGGGCCCUGCGAGAGGGACAAAGAAGAUGGCGCCCAGAGAAGUAAGAUGGGCGGAACUCAAAGUUGUUUGUCACUAAAGCUGAUUGGCUGCACAACAUUAGGGGAAGUGAUGACAACUGAUGACGAGUAUAUAGACAUAUGGCUAGGCCUAUAAAAAUCGCCCCAUAAAAUGAUCUUUUAAGUGAUUGGUUGGUCCUUAUGCCCUGCCCCAAUGACUCUGCAGUAUUGUGCUUUAAAAGGUUCUGUUACGCGCGAAAUAAACGAGUCCCCUUGACUUGGCACCCCACUGCAUCUGAUUGUCUCCAGGUUUGUGAGGCUGGAAAAAGGCCAAGUGGCGCACUUACCUUUCUUCGGACCCAGUCCAUGCACGUUCGGGUGGAAUAAGACCCUGCAGUUGAGUCAGCAAGUUGCUGGAGAUAGAGAGGAAGAUAGAAAAAGACAUCUGCCAUCUAAUGGGUCACUUCCCAGAUGGCCACAAUGGCCAGGCUGGGCCAGGCCAAAUGCAGGAGCCAGGAUUUUCAUCCAGGUCCCCCACAUGGGAUACCAUAGUCCAAACACUUGUGUCAGUCUCUGCUUGUUUUCCCAGUUCUUUAGCAGUUGUGCCCAGUAUAUAAACCAGCACCCAUAUGGGAUGCUGGUAGCCACACAACACUGAACGCCAUACAUUCAAUUCACUUCAUACUCACCGGGUUAAUCCGCACUAAAUUAAGAAUUCAACAAGGAAAUAUACAAAGAUCACUGUUGUGCAAUAGUAGACAAGGGCUAUAAAAAUAUCAAAUAUAAAGAUGUCAGUUUCACUCAUAUACAUUAAAUUGGGGGGUACAGAUGACCCUUUCAUGUGCUGAUUUCAUUUCCUGUGGGUAAAUUCCCAUGAGUGCAAUGGCUAGGUCAUAUGGUAGAUCUAUUUUCAGAUUUUUGAAGAAUCUCCAUACUGUCUUCACAAUGGCUGUACUAGUAUACAUUCCCACCAACAGUGGACUAGGUACCUUUUCUCCCGCAUCUUCACAUGCACUUCUCUUUCUUUUUCUUUUUUCUUUUUGCAUAAUGGCCAUUUGAACGUAGGUGACAUGAAGUUCAUUGUGGUAUUUAUUUGCGUUUCCAUGAUGGUUAGGGACCCUAAGCAUUUGUCCAUGUGUCUGUUGGCCAUUUGUGUUUCAUCCUUUGAAGAAUGCUUGUUCAUCUCUGUAGCCCAUUUAUUCACUGGGUUGUUUGUUUUGUUGUGGUCCAGUUUCUUGAGCUCCUUAUGUGUUUUAGGUCUUAAUUGUUUAU